CCUCAUGUAUCGCCCACUUUAUUGUAUUCGUUUAGACAGUCGGUCACAAUGUCACAUAGUCACGACUCACAGCUAGAGUGGGACAGACAGAAGACACGCACGCAAAGGCAAAAAACAACGCCUAAAAAUGUUCUCAGCCGCUUAUAACGCACACUACUUAAACAUGUUUAUUCUUUGCUUUGCUGCUCUCUUACGAUGGGACAAGGGAAGGGAACAGCGUCAAGGGUUGCUUCUCAAGGGAAACAAAAGAAAGUAGGAGGAAGAAGGAAGAAAAAACCCACCUUUUACCUCAUUAUUUAUCUGGCUAUCUUGUAAUGCUAGAGUUGUGGAGGGGGUGGCAGCAGGAGCGAAGCAUGGAGAGGCAGCUUGCAACUUGGAAGAGUGAAUCAUGUUUUAUCUUUCUCAUCAGAAAGUUUCUGAAGAAAACGGGUUCCUUCGGCUUAUAUUUUGGUUUCUCAGGUUAUAGAAGCAAUCCCAUUUCCCAAGUUCAAUCUUCGCAACUAGUUCUGUUCUUCCUGAUCCUCUUCUGCUUCUUUCCAUAUUGAUUAUGGUUUUGGUGGUGGUGAUAUUGGCGGGAUCGGCUCAAUCUCUUAAUUUUUUUAACAGUUUCUUAGUGUCCCUUUUCAAUUACUCUUUUAUCGAUGAUCGAUGUUGUUCAUACCGAAAGUUAAUGAAGAAGUUGUUCGUUCU